rnacentral:other from 16 species
GUUGACCUUACAGCAAUCUUAACAAUUUUAUCACAUUAUAAAAAAAAACCUCAGUCAACUG